rnacentral:rRNA from 1 species
UACGGGGGGAGCAAGCGUUGUUCGGAUUUACUGGGCGUAAAGGGCGCGUAGGCGGCCACCGCAAGUCGACUGUGAAAUCUCUGGGCUUAACCCAGAACGGUCAGCCGAUACUGCGGGGCUAGAGUGCAGAAGGGGCAACUGGAAUUCUCGGUGUAGCGGUGAAAUGCGUAGAUAUCGAGAGGAACACCUGCGGCGAAGGCGGGUUGCUGGGCUGACACGUGACGCUGAGGCGCGAAAGCUAGGGGAGCGAACGGG